rnacentral:rRNA from 1 species
AUUGAACGCUGGCGGCAGGCUUAACACAUGCAAGUCGAGCGGGGACUUCGGUCCUAGCGGCGAACGGGUGAGGAAUGCUUGGGAAUCUGCCCAGUAGCGGGGGAUAACGUUUCGAAAGGAACGCUAAUACCGCAUACGCCCUACGGGGGAAAGGGGGGGAUCUUCGGACCUCUCACUAUUGGAUGAGCCCAAGUCGGAUUAGCUAGUUGGUGGGGUAAAGGCCUACCAAGGCGACGAUCCGUAGCUGGUCUGAGAGGAUGAUCAGCCACACUGGAACAGAGACACGGUCCAGACUCCUAAGGGAGGCAGCAGUGGGGAAUGUUGGACAAUGGGCGAAAGCCUGAUCCAGCCAUGCCGCGUGUGUGAAGAAGGCCUUCGGGUUGUAAAGCACUUUAAGCGAGGAGGAAUGGCUCUUGGUUAAUAACCUUGAGCAGUGACGUUACUCGCAGAAUAAGCACCGGCUAACUCUGUGCCAGCAGCCGCAGUAACAC